rnacentral:tRNA from 1 species
GCCGAGGUGGUAGAGUGGACAAAUACACGAGUCUGUAAAACUCGCGGCGCAAGCCUACACAAGUUCGAAUCUUGUCCUCGGCACCC